rnacentral:rRNA from 1 species
AACAAACGCUGGCGGCGCGUUUUAAGCAUGCAAGUCGGACGGCAAGAGCUGUAGCAAUAUGGCUCCUAGAGUGGCGAACGGGUGAGUAACACGUAGGUGAUCUACCCUUGGGUGGGGGAUAGUCCGUGGAAACACGGGGUAAUACCGCAUGAGGCCUAGUGGGUAAAGCCAUGAGGUGAAAGGUGCAAUUGCACCGUCUGGGGAUGAGCCUGCGGUCCAUUAGGUAGUUGGCGGGGUAAGGGCCCACCAAGCCUACGAUGGAUAGCCGGCCUGAGGGGGUGUACGGCCACACUGGAACUGAGACACGGUCCAGACUCCUACGGGAGGCAGCAGCUAAGAAUCUUCCGCAAUGGGGGAAACCCUGACGGAGCGACGCCGCGUGG